UACGAAGGGGGCUAGCGUUGCUCGGAAUCACUGGGCGUAAAGCGCACGUAGGCGGCUUUCUAAGUCAGGGGUGAAAUCCUGGAGCUCAACUCCAGAACUGCCUUUGAUACUGGAGAGCUUGAGUCCGGGAGAGGUGAGUGGAACUCCCAGUGUAGCGGUGAAAUGCGUAGAUAUUGGGAGGAACACCAGUGGCGAAGGCGGCUCACUGGACCGGUACUGACGCUGAUGCGCGAAAGCGUGGGGAGCAAACGGG
rnacentral:rRNA from 1 species